UACUGAGGAUGUGAGCGUUAUCCGGAUUUAUUGGGUUUAAAGGGUGCGUAGGCGGGCAUUUAAGUCAGUGGUGAAAAGCUGCCGCUUAACGGUAGUCUUGCCAUUGAUACUUUUUGUCUUGAGUUUGUUUGAGGUAGGCGGAAUGUGCAGUGUAGCGGUGAAAUGCAUAGAUAUUGCACGGAACUCCGAUUGCGUAGGCAGCUUACUAGACCAAUACUGACGCUCAUGCACGAAAGCGUGGGGAUCAAACAGGAUUA
rnacentral:rRNA from 1 species